rnacentral:ribozyme from 11 species
AGAACAUCGUGUUUGCAAAUACAAACAAAAAAGAGAAAGAAACGAGAGAAAAGAAGAAGAAGGCAGGAAUGCAUUUCGAUCACGGUUUCCUUCCCAAAUAAAAUUCGUUCUUUCUUUC